GCCGCGUGAGGGAUGACGGCCUUCGGGUUGUAAACCUCUUUUGGUAGGGAAGAAGCCUUCGGGUGACGGUACCUGCAGAAAAAGCGCCGGCUAACUACGUGCCAGCAGCCGCGGUAAUACGUAGGGCGCAAGCGUUAUCCGGAAUUAUUGGGCGUAAAGAGCUCGUAGGCGGUCUGUCGCGUCUGCUGUGAAAUUCCGAGGCUCAACCUCGGGCUUGCAGUGGGUACGGGCAGACUAGAGUGCGGUAGGGGAGAUUGGAAUUCCUGGUGUAGCGGUGGAAUGCGCAGAUAUCAGGAGGAACACCGAUGGCGAAGGCAGAUCUCUGGGCCGUUACUGACGCUGAGGAGCGAAAGGGUGGGGAGCAAACAGGCUUAGAUACCCUGGUAGUCCACCCCGUAAACGUUGGGAACUAGUUGUGGGGUCCUUUCCACGGAUUCCGUGACGUAGCUAACGCAUUAAGUUCCCCGCCUGGGGAGUACGGCCGCAAGGCUAAAACUCAAAGGAAUUGACGGGGACCCGCACAAGCGGCGGAGCAUGCGGAUUAAUUCGAUGCAACGCGAAGAACCUUACCAAGGCUUGACAUACACCAGAACGGGCCAGAAAUGGUCAACUCUUUGGACACUGGUGAACAGGUGGUGCAUGGUUGUCGUCAGCUCGUGUCGUGAGAUGUUGGGUUAAGUCCCGCAACGAGCGCAACCCUCGUUCUAUGUUGCCAGCACG
rnacentral:rRNA from 1 species